rnacentral:rRNA from 1 species
UACGGGGGGGGCAAGCGUUGUUCGGAAUUACUGGGCGUAAAGCGCGCGUAGGCGGCUUUUCAAGUCGGGCGUGAAAGCCCCGGGCUUAACCCGGGAAUGGCGCUCGAUACUGUUGAGCUAGAGUGUGGAAGGGGCUACUGGAAUUCUCGGUGUAGCGGUGAAAUGCGUAGAUAUCGAGAGGAACACCUGCGGCGAAGGCGGGUUGCUGGGCUGACACUGACGCUGAGGCGCGGAAAGCUAGGGGAGCGAACGGG